ACCGGGUGCCGGGUGCCGGGUGGUGUCGGGGAACAUAAAGCCUAGCAUGCGCACGGCCUACGGUUAGUUUGCGACCGGACGAGCGACUGUGCGCUUGCGUGACCCUCGGAGGACCCUCUCCUCUCCUUCUCUUUCGCCUCCUCGCGUUCGCUCUUCCACACCUUCUCGUUCCUCGCCCUCGCAGUACGCUCGCCCGUUCGAUGGCAAGCAUGACUCGAACCUCCGAGGGUCUCGCGAACCAGCCUUACCAGCCUUGCGCCGGAUUGAAAUCUCUCACCCGGCCGCAACCAUCGCCCGACUGGACGACGCCUGCCGAGCAACGAUGGACGAUCGUUUGUGGAGAUGUCGACUACUGACCGAGAGAACAUUCUCAAAGAUACCGAAAGGAUCGUCCGUCCCCCCGGUGAGACGCCGGAUUUGAAACGACGGAGACGAGGAAGGACGGAAGAUGAUGUGGCAAUCACAGUAAGUACACGAGUCCAACAUUGGCAUUCACCGCUAUGAAAAUCUCAAGCCAAGACCAUAUCCAGUUGAUACAAAUAACUAAUAUAAACAUCGACAUCGACGACCGAUGUACGUACUCUUUGAUUGCCGAUCUCAUUCUUGACCUUGUUCUCCGUUUAUACACAUAUUAGCGUACGAAAACAGCAAUAUGAGAGGCGAGCAUGUGCAAAUAAAAGUCCUAAUAUAAGAGAUAUAAAGUGGAAAUGAGGAAAGAAAAAAAAAGAGAGAGGGAGAGAUGUAGAGUACUGAUGGUCAAAGUACAAGCAGUAUUCGAACAAUACGCUCGGUGAAGACGAAUGACCGCAUUUCGCGGCGAUGGAAAAUUUUCAUUCAAAUUUCCUACACCGAACAACCUCAAAAAUGAUCAAAGAUAGCACCGGUGUGUAGUUCUUCAUCCAUUUUAUCUUAAUUACGCCAAUUAAAAAAACGAAAGGAAUUUCCUAUCAAAAGCAUCCGGACUGACAUUAAUAAUUGGCAUGGCAACAAGAAUUUGAUUCAAACUAGACAUUUUCUUUGAUCGAACAUACAUCAUUUCAACAUUCCUGCUGUGGAUCGAUGAUCAGAUCUAAACUCGGUUCGAGAAAAUUUUCGGAUGUCACAAAGAUUGGAUCCGCGAAGAAUUAUGUCACUUCAUACAUCUUUAAGGACUACGCAUGAAGAAGAUGUGGAACUUCAACUAAACGCCAUCUUUUCAGCCAAAAUCAACGGCAUCACAAUUGAUUCUAACAUUCCGGAAGAAUGUUUCACUCGCGAUAAUGCAAUUUUAAUUGCUUAAUGUAAGUAACAUCUAUAAUAUAAUAUAUGUAUUGCAGUUAAAUUUUGCGUGCAAAUAUCUAUAAGUUACUUAGUAGUAUAGAGAAAGUGAAAAAGACUAAUUUAAUUGG
rnacentral:lncRNA from 13 species